rnacentral:rRNA from 1 species
GACGAACGCUGGCGGCGUGCCUAAUACAUGCAAGUAGAACGCACAGUUUAUACGGUAGCUUGCUACAGCAUAGACUGUGAGUUGCGAACGGGUGAGUAACGCGUAGGUAACCUGCCUGGGAGCGGGGGGUAACUAUUGGAAACGAUAGCUAAUACCGCAUAAUAUUAAUUAUUGCAUGAUAAUUAAUUGAAAGGUGCAAUUGCACCACUACCAGAUGGUCAUGCGUUGUAUUAGCUAGUAGGUGAGGUAACGGGUCACCUGGGCGACGGUACAUAGCCGACCCGAGAGGGUGAUCGGCCACACUGGGACUGAGACACGGCCCAGACUCCUACGGGAGGCAGCAGUAGGGAAUCUUCGGAAAUGGACGAAAGUCUGACCGAGCAACGCCGCGUGAGUGAAGAAGGUUUUCGGAUCGUAAAGCUCUGUUGUAAGAGAAGAACGGGUGUGAGAGUGGAAAGUUCACACUGUGACGGUAUCUUACCAGAAAGGGACGGCUAACUACGUG